GAUGAACGCUGGCGGCGUGCCUAGUACAUGCAAGUCGAGCGAACAGACGAGGAGCUUGCUCCUCUGACGUUAGCGGCGGACGGGUGAGUAACACGUGGAUAACCUACCUAUAAGACUGGGAUAACUUCGGGAAACCGGAGCUAAUACCGGAUAAUAUAUUGAACCGCAUGGUUCAAUAGUGAAAGACGGUUUUGCUGUCACUUAUAGAUGGAUCCGCGCCGCAUUAGCUAGUUGGUAAGGUAACGGCUUACCAAGGCAACGAUGCGUAGCCGACCUGAGAGGGUGAUCGGCCACACUGGAACUGAGACACGGUCCAGACUCCUACGGGAGGCAGCAGUAGGGAAUCUUCCGCAAUGGGCGAAAGCUUGACGGAGCAACGCCGCGUGAGUGAUGAAGGUCUUCGGAUCGUAAAACUCUGUUAUUAGGGAAGAACAAAUGUGUAAGUAACUAUGCACGUCUUGGCGGUACCUAAUCAGAAAGCCACGGCUAACUACGUG
rnacentral:rRNA from 1 species